UUAAAGAUAGAAACCGAUCUGGCUUACACCGAUCUGAACUCAAAUCAUGUAAGAUUUUAAA
rnacentral:tRNA from 1 species